AUUGAACGCUGGCGGCAGGCCUAACACAUGCAAGUCGAAUGGUAACAGGAAACAGCUUGCUGUUUCGCUGACGAGUGGCGGACGGGUGAGUAAUGUCUGGGAAACUGCUUGAUGGAGGGGGAUAACUACUGGAAACGGUAGCUAAUACCGCAUAACGUCUCAAGACCAAAGAGGGGGACCUUCGGGCCUUUUUCCAUCAGAUGUUCCCAGAUGGGACUAGGUAGUAGGUGGGGGAACGGCUCACCUAGGCGACAAUCCCUAGCUGGUCUGAGAGGUUGACCGGCCACACUGGAACUGAGACACGGUCCAGACUCCUACGGGAGGCAGCAGUGGGGAAUAUUGCACAAUGGGCGAAAGCCUGAUGCAGCCAUGCCGCGUGUAUGAAGAAGGCCUUCGGGUUGUAAAGUACUUUCAGCGGGGAGGAAGGGAGUAAAGUUAAUACCUUUGCUCAUUGACGUUACCCGCAGAAGAAGCACCGGCUAACUCCGUG
rnacentral:rRNA from 1 species